GCCGGGCGCGGUGGCUCACGCCUGUAAUCCCAGCACUUUGGGAGGCCGAGGCGGGUGGAUCACCUGAGGUCAGGAGUUCAAGACCAGCCUGGCCAACAUGGUGAA
rnacentral:SRP_RNA from 14 species